AAAGAUCACAAACACUCACAAGGA
rnacentral:siRNA from 1 species